rnacentral:rRNA from 1 species
CAGCAGCCGCGGGAAUACAGAGGGUGCGAGCGUUAAUCGGAUUUACUGGGCGUAAAGCGUGCGUAGGCGGCUUCUUAAGUCGGAUGUGAAAUCCCUGAGCUUAACUUAGGAAUUGCAUUCGAUACUGGGAAGCUAGAGUAUGGGAGAGGAUGGUACAAUUCCAGGUGUAGCGGUGAAAUGCGUAGAGAUCUGGAGGAAUACCGAUGGCGAAGGCAGCCAUCUGGCCUAAUACUGACGCUGAGGUACGAAAGCAUGGGGAGCAAACAGGAUUAGAUACCCGAGUAGUCCCUGUCUCUUAUAC